rnacentral:rRNA from 1 species
UACGGGGGGGCAAGCGUUGUUCGGAAUUACUGGGCGUAAAGGGCUCGUAGGCGGCCAACUAAGUCGGACGUGAAAUCCCUGGGCUUAACCCAGGAACUGCGUUUAAUACUGAUUGGCUAGAGAUUGGUAGAGGAAAGUGGAAUUCCUAGUGUAGAGGUGAAAUUCGUAGAUAUUAGGAAGAACACCAGAGGCGAAGGCGACUUCUGGCCAAUACUGACGCUGAGGCGCGAAAGCGUGGGAGCAACAGGAUUAGAUACCGUG